AACCUUUUUAAUUGCUUCAGCAUUCCAAGAGAUUUUGGACAAUUGCUUUCAACUUUGCAGUUACAGUUUGUGGACUACUCCUUCCUUUUCCAUCAUGACUGCUCACCAGUACACAAAACAAGACAUGGAUGAGUGAGUUUGCUGUCCUGAGUCCUGGCCUCAGCCCAGUAGAACACCUUUGGGAUGAAUCAUUGCAGAGACUGUGGCCUUCUCUUCUCUUCUGACCUCACAAAUGCGCUUCAGAAAGAUAAUCAAAAAUUCCUAUUAGCACCCAAAGCUCAGCCCAGUAGAACACCUUGGAUGAAUUAUGGUCCCAAAAUAUGAAAUAGGUUACACUACAAUUUGGAACUCCAUCUGUGAGCACUGUACUACAUGUCUCCAAGAUGAGAAAACCCCUUUGUCCAGUAUUGCUGGUCAAACCCUACCACAAACAAGAGACAGGAGACAACUAUGUAUGAAGGUGAACCCAAAAUGUCAAACCAAAAAGAAAUACCCAAAUAGAGAAAGAACUAAAUCAAAUUAAGCAGGAAAAAAUAUAGAAGCACUACAAAUAUCUAAGAAAAGGCAAUAAAGAAACCUAGCAUGAAGAUACGAUUGAAGAGACAGUAUUAAAGAAGAGACAGACUGGAGUUGAAGACUAGACAGGGCAGAGCCUGGCUGGAGAAAUCGCAACAAUGUAACAGACUUAUCUGCGCUACGUUGUUGUUCAUUUCUUUGAUGAAGAUGAGGUUGAGGCUGCACCAUCAUUGUGGAUAGAGUGGUGUGAUGGGGUUUUGUACUGUUACUGGCCACACUCAAGUGCCAGCAUCAUGGCCAAAAAAUAUGCAGCACCAGAUAAAAACUUAUGGUCAAAGCAUGCUGUAAGGGUACUUUCAGAGACAGAUAGUUAUGCUAUGGCCAGAUACCGAGCACGAAAGGCACAGGACACAUCAAAUGUGGAAGAAUCUGAUGCUAAUGAAUCCAGAAAGAUCACUCUUCCACAUCGAUUCAGAGAUAAAGAUGACCAACCCGAUCUAAGAAAGAGAAGAGCUUCUCUAUGUAAGUGUAAAACAGUUUAUUAAGUACACCUGCCUGGUACUGACUUACUAAAUUACUUACUGGCCAUUUGUGUACCUUGUUGGAAUUUAUGUAUAUCUGCUGCUGCAUUUGCUAGCCGACACAUCAGACAUCA